UGGCUGCACAUGGUGAUGGAAAAAAUUGCUACAGAGCUGUGCAACUGGAGGAGGCUCAGUGUUACCACUUCUGUCUAACCCCCCAAAAGGAGGAUGCUGGGAGAAGAGAGAGUUCUGGAGUUAAGCACCUAAGGUAACCAAGGUAAAGCGAACAGGCAUGAAGAUAAACACUGUUAAUGAUGUUGGCGCUGUGGAAGUGUG